CGAAACCACGAAAAGGAAAUCGGAGCUCCAACUGAAUGGAAGUACUGACGGUACUGUAGCUGAAAACAUCCAAGCACGCGAAUGCCCUGUAGGCGGAGGACAAGCCGAAUCAGGGAUUUUUCAAUGUAGCGAAUAGAAAUUAGCUUCUGUAGACAGAGUGACACGCGAUCAAGAUGACGGGAUGGAAAUCAAAUAGAAAUGAGAUGGUAACCUGGACCAUGAUGGUGCUAUGUGCAUCGUGGAUUGGAUACUGCCAAGGAGCCUGGCCCUGUGGAGAUUGCCGAUGUGAUCAGUUAACAGGGACCAGAACUCUGCUAAGUUGCUCAUAUGUGUCAGAUUUUUUGUUUCUUAGUAAUAACCAAAUCUCUAUGAUACCGCAUAAUGUCUUUGACAAGUUUAGCGUUCUUAAAACAUUGUACUUGCAACAGAAUCAACUCACGAGCCUUCCUGAUAAUAUAUUUGGCAAACUGACAAAUCUGACAGAUCUGU